rnacentral:rRNA from 1 species
CCUACGGGGGGCUGCAGUGGGGAAUAUUGGACAAUGGGGGGAACCCUGAUCCAGCCAUGCCGCGUGUGUGAAGAAGGCCCUCGGGUUGUAAAGCACUUUCAGUGAGGAAGAACGCCUGGUGGUUAAUACCCAUCAGGAAAGACAUCACUCACAGAAGAAGCACCGGCUAACUCCGUGCCAGCAGCCACGGUAAUACGGAGGGUGCGAGCGUUAAUCGGAAUUACUGGGCGUAAAGCGCGCGUAGGUGGCUUGAUAAGCCGGUUGUGAAAGCCCCGGGCUCAACCUGGGAACGGCAUCCGGAACUGUCAAGCUAGAGUGCAGGAGAGGAAGGUAGAAUUCCCGGUGUAGCGGUGAAAUGCGUAGAGAUCGGGAGGAAUACCAGUGGCGAAGGCGGCCUUCUGGACUGACACUGACACUGAGGUGCGAAAGCGUGGGUAGCAAACAGGAUUAGAUACCCCUGUAGUC